AAAACAUAGGUAACGUUUUUAAUUGAUUGAAAUAGGCAGAGGCAGUAGAAACAUUUCUUAAAGACCUACAAGCCUUUCAUUGACAUCAAUGUCUACCUGUGACAUUCUUAACUCAACAUGGACAACACCAGAGUCUAUACUGAGUGGCUGGACAGAAGAAAAAGAUGUCGAUGAUAAUGUCAGCAAUUUCGCCAAGCAAAUUCGCAAAGCUGUGGAACGUGAUCAAAAACAAACAUUUUCAAAGUUUGACGCCAUCAGAUUCAGAAAACAGAUUGUGAAUGGCUGGAACUAUUGGGUCAAGGUUUGUAUAGAAGAUGAAAAUUCAAGAUGUUUGCACAUUAAAUUUUGGCUGGCCAUGGGAGUUGACGCAAAGCCUGUACUAAUUAGCGUUAUUCCAAAUAAAACGAAGAACGACCCAAUAAACGUUUGAGUCUGCAUGAAGUUCCGCAGUCAUAGCCCAAGAGAUUUGUUGUUUUUUAGAGAAAUGUAUUUUUGUUUCAAAAUGUCUCAUCUGAUGCUUAGUCAAGUGCUAAAUAUAAUUUUUUUAUUGUCUUCAAUGUCUUGUACUAUAAUUUAUUAUUUGUCAUAAAAAUCGUUAAAAUUAGCCAAAUUAUGUUGUCAUACUCGAUAAUACAUUAAUCUCAUAAUUGUUCACUAUGGCAUAUAUUAUAGUUGUUUUAACCUUCUCUAGUGACAACUUAUCAAUCCUGUGUUAUCCAAUAAUGUCUGUUACUUUCAACACAAAAAUGUGAUUCACCUGUUUUACUUUACCUAAAGAUAAAAUCAACUUGUUAUAAUGUCUUUCAAAGUAGUCGUGAAUAUAAAUAACAUCAAAAUACGUUUUUCAACCCAUAAUGUUUUUAAUUGAUAUAUAUUGCCCAAUGAUAGCUUUCAUUCCUUGUAUAUUGCCUAGUAGUAGCUUUUAUUUCAUUUACAUUGCCGACUGUAGCUUUCAAUUCAUAUAAAUUGUCAAAUUGUAUACUUCAUUUCGUAUACAUUGCCUAGUGUUAGCUUUCAUUUCAUUUACAUUGCCUAGUGGUAGCUUUCAUUUCAUAUUCAUUGCCUAGUGGUAGCUUUCAUUUCAUUUACAUUGCCUAGUGGUAGCUUUCAUUUCAUAUAAAUUGCCUAAUGGUAGCUUUCAUUUCAUUUACAUUACUAAAUGAUUUUCACACGUUAUACUUUGCCUUAAAGGUUUAAUUCACUUGUUAAAUAUAAUAAUGUUAUAAAUUUAAUUUUACUGUUUUCUUAGAGAUUUAAAACGUUCCUUUAAAAAGAAAAAGAUAAUUGGCUCAUAAUUUUCCCAACACGUUAUGCACCAUUAUUGUGUUGUAUCAAAUUUUUAAAGUCUUUCAUUAGUAAACUAGAUUAUGGACGCAGACGAAGGCUUUAAAAUCAUCCAGAGCCGUUCCGUGCAUCAGGCAGCUAAACGUGCGCACCUUGUAUUGUAAAAACUUGUAUUGUAAAAGUAAUUUUAAAAAAGUAGUAACAGUUUUGGAAAUGUUGAUUUUCGUUAAAGUCUUGAAAACAUUUGCUAUAAAGCUAAAUCUAUUUUAAAAAUUUGAAAACCAUAAAACUAUUCUAACAUAAUAAACGUCACUAUUUUGUUUUCCAUUCAUUGGGAUCAUAUUGUAAUGAACCUCAUCCCUAGAGAACUUAAACUAGAACAGGCGCAAAGCAGCGAGUUUUGAAAACUAUUGAAUAUUAACAUUAGCUGAAGGUAACGCUAUAAGUAAAAUCAAGACAAGACUAAACAUGUAAAAUAAAAAAAAUAAUACUUUUGAAAAAGCUCAUAUUAAUGUGUAACAAUUAGUUUGCAUCUGUCAUGUAAUUAAAUGUGUAAUAGAUCUGUAACAAUAGCAAAUUUGUGCGAUUAGAAAUAUUUUUUACAAAGCUUAUAUCAACUCACUCUGUCUGUCUGUCUGGCCCAAAUCUCGGAUCAAGCUGAAAUUUUGCAGUUGUUUAUUUAGAAACACAAAGAAAAAGGCAUAUUUUUUAUUCCAUUUAAAAGAACAAAUUUGUACAAGUGCUCCUACAAAGCUAUAUCAACUCACUCUGUCUGUCAGUUUGUCUGUUUGAUACAAAUCAAAUUUUUAACACGCUAUAUCUAUCUCUACCCAUUCUCGAUUAAGUUGAAAGUUUAUAAAUUAUUUUGCUGUCGAAGUCAAGACGUAAACCAAUAUAAAAUAUUUAAGCGAAUAGUUAAUUAAACAGUGGAAAUAAACGAAUUGGUUUUAAUUCGAAAAAAAUUGAAACAAAAAUCAUGGAUAUGGCUACAAAUGUGAGCGUGUGUAAACUCUGUCUGUCUGGUAAAAAGUUCGACCAUAUUUUUUCUCCCAUUUCCCUUUCUCAAAUCAA